rnacentral:lncRNA from 1 species
GGUUCUAGAAAUAACAGAGUUUAUCCAUACACAGUGAUAAUAGGAACCACCCUAAAGAUCCACCCUCUCCUCCCAGGCCAUCCCUACCCGCAAGACUCAGACCCAUAGAGACUUUUACACAACAUAAGAACACACAGUCAAGUGGCCUGCGAUUAGCCCUCAACACAGUGAGACCCUUCAGAUGGCUGUCCCGGCAGCCUUACUCCAGGGAUCCUCAGGCUCGCGCAGCCGGUGGCCAUCAGCAACAGCCGCAGGGCCUCCGUGGCACACGUGCGCCCGCCGCCUGCCACACACACCCGCGCACACGCCGGCGAGGGCUAACGAGCCCACAGCCCUACGCGGCGGGAGGGAGCCAGUUGUCGGGCGGGGCGACAGCGGUCACACAGCAUUAGCCCUGCGGCCGCCCCGCCAGGUGCGGCCACUGCCCCUAAUCCCUGGCCCGCCCUGCUAAGCCCGGCCUGAGCAAUGCCACAGCUGGGGGCGGCCGGCCACGCGCCGCCCCUCACCGCAGCCCAGCUUUCCCCACCCCACCCCAACCCCUGGCGUGUGCCCUGAACCCCAAUCGAUCUCCAGCCCUGCAUAGCAAUCCAGCCCAGCUGGUCAUUGACCCUGUGCCCCCAACCUGGACUCUAAGCAUCUCCAUGGCUCCCCGCAAUGCCUCUCCUCUUGGUUCACCUGCCUCUGCUAUUGUUGGGAAGCUUGCUCUCCAAGAUAGAGCCUUCAUAGAUCUCAGCUACGGGUUUGGGAGUACAGACCAUCAUGAAGGAGGAAGCAGAGUGGCAGGAGGAUGAGGCGCCUGGUCACGCUGCAACUACCAUCCAAAAGCAGAGAGAGAGAAGGGAGGGGGAUGUUAAUGUUGGUACUCAGUUAUUUCUCUCCCUUUCACUCAGUCCUGGCCCUUAGUCUAUAGGGUGAUGCCACUCGUACUCAGGAUGGCUCUUCCUUCCUCUGUUAAACUCUCUCUGGAAACACACACACCCUCCCCACCAAGAAGUAUGCUUCCGUGGUAGUUCUAAAUCCCAUCAAGUUGACAGGAUCAACCAUCACAUCUGGAUAGAAGAUAACCGUGGCUCCAGCUCAGGAAUGGCCUCUCCUAUUCCCUGAGCUUCCACCUUAGCUUCCACAGCAUCUCAGUGUGUGAUUUCGGGAGUAAGAGUUGUAUCCUUUGGGGUUUAAGGAGAAGCAGGGGCAUAGGAGAGUUCUGAGCUCCAGGACAAUCUUGUCCUAUUCCUGCUGCUUCAGUCUGACCCCAGUAGACUCCACAUAUCCUUGGCAACAUCCGAGCACAGAUUGGAGCAAUGUGAGGCUCACAGAGCCCCCAUGGGCACAGUGGAUGCAGGAUGAACUUGGAAAGGUCCUUUCUGGUUCCCUGGUGCACUUUCCCAUCUUAUCCAAGGAUGGGUCCUCCUCUUCUCCAACUCUCUUCCAGGAAGCCCUCUCAGGACCAGUCUGGUGAGGAUGACUCAGAGGGUAAAGUUGCCUUCGGCCAAGCUUGACCACUUAAGUUCAGUCUCUAGGAGGUGGUGAAGAACUACCCAUUGGUUGUCUGACCUUCACACACACACCAUGGCACAGGCACACAUAAACACCUACACCCCACCCCCCCAACAAACAUGAAACACA